AUGCAACCUUUGCUUCAGGAUCAACAAUCAGUCCUCCAUUCCUUACGAAAUCUCGUGCAGCUUCCAUUAACUCUUUAUCAAUAUUUCCCGGCGAGUAACACCGAAGUGCAGGUCCAGAUUUGGUACCACAUACCAAAGCAAAGUGAACAAGAGGUUCAGGGUAUGACAGGGCCACCUGCAAUUACAAACAAGGAAAAAAAGGCGGUGAGAAUUUAUAUCACUGAAAAAUUAGCAUCACUUAAGAACAAGGUUUACGAGUCGACAAGUCGUUCCAAGGUUGAGACUCAUAGACUAAUCGUGACAAGUCUAGACUAUUGCUGGACUAGUCGACAUGGUACUGUAACACACACCUUGCAGUAA
rnacentral:rRNA from 1 species